rnacentral:rRNA from 1 species
UACAGAGGUCUCAAGCGUUGUUCGGAUUCAUUGGGCGUAAAGGGUGCGUAGGCGGCGCGGUAAGUCGGGUGUGAAAUCUUGGAGCUUAACUCCGAAACUGCAUUCGAUACUGCCGUGCUUGAGGACUGGAGAGGAGACUGGAAUUUACGGUGUAGCAGUGAAAUUCGUAGAUAUCGAGAGGAACACCGGUGGCGAAGGCGGCCUUCUGGACAGUGACUGACGCUGAGACACGAAAGCGUGGGGAGCAAACAGG